UGGGAUUAAAUAUAUUCAAGUAAUUCCAUCCCGGUUGGGAUCUUCAUCAACCCAACUCAUAAGUUGCUUUCUAUCCACUUUCUUUAUGGCUCUUGUGAAUGGUUUUCUGAUUUCCAGCUUGCCAUCUUCCCGAAUCUUAAUAACAAGCCACUUCCUAUUCUUGAAUCUCACUUGUGCUCCUAUCGGAAGUGGUGUAUAUUCGGAGUGGAUAGUACC
rnacentral:lncRNA from 1 species